UGAAGUGAGACACUUUGCACAGGGUUGAACUCACAAAGAGCAGAAUGAGCUCAGGUCCGUCUGUCUGACUCUAAAGCCCUGUGAUGUUUAACUCUGUUUACCUCCUUACCCAGCUUGCACUGAGCUCAGUCUUUGUUCUCGCUGCCAAGAGGAAGUGUUCUUCACUCUGCCGACACAAUAGGGCAUCCUUCUGAAUGAAGUCACUGUAAGAAUGUAAUGUUAGACUCCAGCUGCUGCUCAGGCCACAGCACAUGCAGCGGCUUUCCUCUUGCACAGAUACUGGACAGGCACCCCAUUGAGACAUUGUCCCCAGGAGCCCUAGCUAACAGACUUCCAGGUGCAGGGUCUCUCACCUGGAGAAAGGAGAUGCCAUCAAAACUGCUACUGACGGUCACCCGUCCUGUUCCUCGUCUGCAUUGGAAUCAGAGAGCCUGGCUGCUGGCUGCUGGCUGCUGGCUGCGGCUGCCAGCUGGUGUGAAACCUACCCAUCCUCAGAAAGGUAUAAGAAGAGAGACUCCCUCUUCUGACUUCCCUCUUCAGAGCCCCUGCCAUGCUUUCUUUGGUCUGAACUCUCUUCAGAGCCCCAGCUAUGCUGUUAUUUAUCUGUCUGUCUGCCCACGGCAUUAAUAGCUCUUCUAAUAAACUCCAUAUCCCCAACAAUCCAUCUCAGUGUCCCUUUUGAGACCCCAUCUGAGAUCGUUCAGUCAUUUUCUUUUGGGGAACAGCCAAGCGCCCUGAUAGGGCCCUAACUGACUCCAGUAGAAGAUUUCUUCAGUGACUUUAUAACAUAUCCUCACACUAGCUAGUUAGUGGUAACUAUUCACUUCCUGCCACUGUCACUGAAACUAUAUAAAGUACCUAGUUGGUGUCCAUUUGUCCAAAAUUGGAUUAGUCAAAAAGAGAGAGGGUUUGUUUCUCUUUAGUUGUAAGCCUAGAAUCUAUUUGGAGAUGUAAGGCAUGUAAAAUCCUUGCAAGCAAUAUAGUAAGAUGUAUAUGAUUGAUACCACGAGUCCAGGAAGUUAAAAGCACUAUGCUCCAGGGAGAGUCUGGUGGCUGGUUGGGUGGGGAAGAUUAUAGUCUGAGAGAGGAAGCAGCAAAAAGCUUCCUGGGAAAUUUGAAUGGAGUUGAGGCUUGAAGGCUUGCAGAGUUUGGAGAGGGAAAGGUGAGAGGGCUAUGUGUGAUGUUUUUGCUGUGGAGAGCUCACAGGGGCAGAGAGGGAGGGACACAGCAUGGGUACAUGCAUUCAUCCAGGGAGCCUCUCCUUUACAGCCCUGAGCCUCUUUGCUCCCUGCUUGGGGAUUUUUAUGACCCCAUCCAUCUGUUUGCAGUCAGUCUCAGAUUUGCUUUGAAAUUCAAAAGCUGAAAGGGAAGUGUGAUAUUGGAGCCAGAGCAGCAGGCUGGGCAGAUUUCUCCAGGAAGGAAGGAGUGCCUCAUGAAGCAAAAAUCACUACAGGCAGAACACUUCUUGCUGGCUGGAGUCCCCAGGCAGUUAGGACUAGGAGUGAUGGUGAUGAGCCUGGGAGGAGCUUCUAACCUGGACUAAAUCAGCCAGUCCAGUGGCCAUCAGCGUGUAGUCAAGCAUGGAGACCAAGGGGCCUUCAGCAGGAUCUUUGGUGCGUGAUCUGGCCCCAUCUGGCCAGUGUUUGUUUUCUCUCCCUGCUCUGGCCAGAGCCUGCUGGGAGAGUUGACCUAACAUUCUAUGCCUCCUCAUUUCCCUAGCUCAGCUGCCACUCCUGCGUGCCUUUGGAGCAUCGAUGUCAUACAGGGGAAAGACUUCUUUGGUAAAAGUCAAUCACUGAUCAAGUCUAAGGUCCACAGCCUGGACCUCCAAGUACUGCUCACUUUCCAGAUGAGGAGCUUGAUGGAGUUCUAGUCAUCUGUCCUUCACAGAGCACCAGAUCUGUGACCUCCUGGGUGGUUCCCUCCUACCUGCCUUCCCAUACUCCACCCACCCUUGCAUGGCUGCCUUUCCUGCCUUUAGGUCCACAUACCUCAAGCCUGUUCUCUGUUCUGAUGGAUGCUGACCUUGUGUUUCUGUCUAGGAGUGUUUGAAGUGCCUCUCACCUGUCCCUGGUGCUCCCUGGCAUGUCCUGGAGAAGCUGAACAGAGUCACACUGCCCAGGCAGAACACUCACACGGGUGGCAGUUAGCUGGUAGGAUUUACCCUCUGAUACAAAUCAUAUUUUUUUCUAAACAUGAUUUCAAAAUCUGGCAGUUGAAUUAAGAAGUUGGAAGGUAGAGAAAGAGUUCUAGCCCGUUAAAACUAGACAAUACUUUGCAGAUAUCUGCUCCAAUCUACAUUUUUCCAGGGUGGAAACUGAGUCUCAGUCCUGAUAGUAUUUACAAAGUCAUUGCCAAAGCAGAAUGGGAAACACCAAGGGGGCCUGGACUAGCCUCUUGGAGACUUUGAGUGAAGCUGUAAGGAUGUGGGGCACCUGCUUUGUCUCUUUCAAGGGCCACAAUGUCACACACUGCUGUCAAAUUUGCAGAUAUGAAGCUCUCCAGGGUGCUGUCUUAGCUGCUCACCAUCCUGGCUUUAUAAAGGCAGCCUUCAUUUUCGCUUCCUGGACGCAGGGUUCAUGGGCAUGUUCAAGGACAAACUAACAGCAAGCAGCUAUGGCAGGCCUUGGGACCCAGGCCAGCUGUCCUUUGUAGUGUUCCCUCAUGCUACCUCCGUCUCUGGGAGCCAAGAUGAAAAUAGUGUUCUCUAGGACGAACAGGCAGUGAUGGGCACAGGGAAACAGGACAAAUGUGCGUGAGUUCUAGCCACUGACUCUCUGGAGGUCAUUUCUCAUGGCAGAGAUGUGCUGAGCAGUGACUGUUUCUUCAGACUUUGAGAUUUGAUGUCUUACAAAUAUUUUAUAUUGUCCUCUAGGUUUCGAAAAGAAACCUUAUGGACAACACCAGUGCAAUGAUUAAAAAAACAAAAUCAAACCUAGUGCCUUAGCUAUAUGGAAAAAAAAUAAAAGGAAAAUAGUUUG
rnacentral:lncRNA from 1 species